rnacentral:tRNA from 1 species
GCCUUCUUAGCUCAGUGGCAGAGCGUUGGUCUUGUAAUAAAUAAAGGCAACCAAAGGCCGAGAGUUCAAUCCUCUCAGGAGGCA